rnacentral:rRNA from 1 species
GUGGAUUAGAUAUCCUAGUAGUCCACGCCGUAAACGGUGGGUACUAGGUGUGGGUUUCCUUCCUUGGGAUCCGUGCCGUAGCUAACGCAUUAAGUACCCCGCCUGGGGAGUACGGCCGCAAGGCUAAAACUCAAAGGAAUUGACGGGGGCCCGCACAAGCGGCGGAGCAUGUGGAUUAAUUCGAUGCAACGCGAAGAACCUUACCUGGGUUUGACAUGCACAGGACGCCGGCAGAGAUGUCGGUUCCCUUGUGGCCUGUGUGCAGGUGGUGCACGGCUGUCGCCAACU